rnacentral:lncRNA from 1 species
AAAAUUGUUUAGGCAGAUAAAAAAGAAUGACCAUGGGACUCCUCUAUCCUUCUUUCUCUAGCACGGGACUCCUCUGCUUAUGAUUCGUGUACAAAUCCGCUUCUUCCUUCAUGGCACCACGGAUGGCUACCAAACCCUCAAUUAUCUGCAAGCAAAUGUUCCCACCUCCCAAACCCUCCUCCUGUUCUCAUGUAGCGCACAAAAAAAGUCGUCCAUCGCUUGCAUGCUUCAACUGCCUCAGCUGGGGCCCCAAUGCGAGAGCUGGAUGGUCUCCAAUACUAACACAACGUCAUGGCCAUGAAGUCCUCCGUCUAUCCUUGCAAUCAAGGCUGGUGCGUCCUUUCUCAUGUCCUCACAAAGUUCAUGGACCAUCUAAAUAAAUUUUGAUGAUCCGAUUAACAUAUUUGGGGAAUAUCGGCAGGUUCUUUCUUGCCCGGCUGUACAAAGUCUGGUGUCAAUUUGUUGGGCUAGAAGCAUAUGAUUAACUGGCAGUUAGAAGUGGAAACAUCCCUUUAUUCAUUUGCCUAUAUUAUCACACAGGAGGUUAUGGUUGAGGACCGGUGUCAAUCUGUUAGUAUUUGGGAACUAUGAUCCAUGGAUUAUUUUGUUCGUAAAUUUGUUCCAUGUACGAAUGAAAUAUUUAUG